AGGGAAAGCGGGGUUUCGGGUGGAAAAAGCUAAAAUAGAGCCAAAUACCGCCUCUCACCACCAAAACUAAACAGGGAGCUGCACUACUGCUGCUGCUGCUGGUGCUGCUCUAUUUCAUAUUUACCGGUUUAGUUAGGUUAGAUUAGGUAUAAUUAAGUUUAGUUAGAAUGGUAGCAGCAAGAGCAAGAACACAGCGGCCAUCACAACAACAUGAACAGCAACAGUAGUGCAGCUUUCUAUUUAUUUUUAGUGGUAAGAGGCGAUAAUUGGCUCUAUAUUACCUUUCCACACCCGAAAACCCCGCCUUCCCACCAGCUUCCCUUCACUGUAGGGGACACGAACCGAAAACCCCGCCUUCCCACCAGCUUCCCUUCACUGUAGGGGACACGAACCGAAAAAAAAAAAAAAAAAAUAGGAGAGAGGGCUGCACGAUUCUUCUUAAUAUUUCCCCGUAAUGGUAUAUACACACAUGCAUGUGAGAAUAUGAUAAGAAUUGUCUGCUGUAUGGAUCAUGUACACCUUCAGAAACUGACAACGGAGUUUUAAUACAGACCAGAACAAAAAUUAUAUGUUUUGAUAUGAGAGAGUGAUAUGAUCAGUGCGUAUGAAGUUAACACAAAAUAUGAUGUAAUCUUGAAUAUGUACGGGUGCCUUUAAUUUAUUAGGAAAAAAAUAUAUAUAUACCAUUCAGGAGAAAAUUCGUUUGUUUUAUAAUUGGGUAUUGUGUCAUGAAUCACGAUGUCUUGAGUACCUGACGGGAGUCGUGGUUGUUCGUAUUCGCCCGGGUUUCGGGACGGUCCUGUGUAUUGCCAUGUUUUUCUUGUUUUAUGCAUUUUUGUAUGUAUAUUUGUAGAUCAUAUUAUGAAUAUUUAUUUUUGUGUGCCUUUUGCAUAUUACUUAGGUGAGGCUUAGUAUAUAAUUAUAGGGAAGUGAGGUGUUAUCAAGUGCGUUCUGGGUGGCCAGUGGUGACGUGACCAGGGCUGUGUCAACACCAGGGUGGUGUUGGUUGUGUGGGGUGCACCUGGGCCCUGUGUUGGCCUUUGAAGGUGUUGCUUGAGUCUCGCCUUCGCACUCCGAGGACACUUUGAAUUCAUGGUGCUUUAGGUGCUCGUGGUCUUCGUCAGCCUUCGUGACCGUCCAUGCUCGUAACGUCUUCUUGUGCUCCUUGUUCGGCGCCUUGAAACAGAGGAAGAGAGAAUAAGAGGCUAAUUUUGUCCUCUUUAGGCUACAUUAUACAAGUGACUGCAGUACAAACACAUCUAAAUAAUAUAUAGACAAAACCAUCCAGCAUUCAGUAGCCCCAUCGCGCUGGUCAGUAGAGGACCCGUGGCCACCAGACGCAGCGGAACCUUUCUGGGUCGUAACGUGAUGACCCGGGGGACGUAGAUAGCCAGACGACGCGAGGAGGAAAGUGCGGGAGACUGGAACGAAGCGACUGCAGUGUUUUGAAGGAUGAUGCCGCCGAAGUCCCGAGUGGCUUCGAGACAAGGAAGAGAAGCCACGCGACUCACUUGAGCCAGUCAGUCAGUGGUCAGUGGCGUCAGCUUCGUUGUGGUGUACGUGUGAGUCUUCUGUGUUUUCUUGGACGCUUAUUUGGGCUCUAGGUGAACCAAAACUCUCCCAAAGCUUGUCCACAGUGGUCAGCAGCUGUGACACAAGGAGCAGCUGUCUCAGCGGAGAGACGGUGGACGGCGGAUGAAUACUUCGGCUCCCGCGCCUUCUUCCGCAUCAUGUCCGACUUGCCGAUCCUGGUGGUGGGCGGCGUGCGUCAGAGGAGUUGAAAAAUGUAUGGGACACGCUGCUGUGCUCUGCGUGUAGCUGUGAGGUGAGAGAAGACACAGUAUGUUGAGGGAAGGCAGCUGCACUAGUGACAGCAGCAGCAGAGCCCCACCACUGCUGCUGCUCCUCUCCUCUUCCCAGCACAGCAGCACACAGGACACAUUUCCAUCAUCUUUAAAUCCCGGACACUUGUGCCUUGGUGAUAAUCUCACAGCAGCAAACCCUACAUUGCUCAGGUCAACUUCCAGCUAGAAUCAUAAUAUCUGGAGUUAUUUUUCCACAAAGAAGGAUUCAAAAUAUCCCCCCCAAAAAAUAAGAUAUUUUUAGAAAUGAAAAUCCACUCGAAUUUUCUGCCUGAAGCUCUCGUUAAAAUGACUCCCUCUUGAAUCUUGUGUCCGACUCCAACUGUGUCCAAGAGAAUGGAUCUCCAGUUUGUAGUGAGACUUCCGAGCCGCCCAGACCUGUGAAGGCGAGCAGUCUGUCAGAUAAUGAGAGUAGACAACAUAAGCAACAUAAUGAGAGACAAAGUCACAAUAAUAGAGAUAAAAUGAAGGCACUCAAGUAUUAAUGAGAAAACAAAACAGAAUAAUAAGCAAAGUAAAAUAAUGAGACAAUAAGGCCAGUCAACAAAUAAUAGUGAAUUUACUGUAGGAAGGGUCUGCUGUACUACUUAAUGACCAUUCAAGUCUACUUGUUAAAGAUGUGUUUACACUUUGAAGUGUCAUUUUCUUGUACUAUGAUACAUUUUUUUACUAUUUUCUUCCACCUGCCUUAAUUAACAUUGAGUAGAGUCUCACUAAUACAACUUGAAUAUUACUCAGCCGGCAGUCUUUGCCAUGGUGGAGUGUGACACUGAAUCAGUACUGACAUUUUAUCAUUUACAUUUCAUUACUUUGAUUACUCAACAAAAUACUGCAUUGUUUUUUGUAACCUGCUGACUGGUGAAGGGACAACGUGUGCUCCUCAACACUUGGUUCUUGCCACGUGCCGCAGCAGACUGACAGCUUCCAGUGGGCCUGUCUGAGGUAAUGCACCACACAACAUUAGGAAUAGGAACAAUUAUUUCACUAAAACUUUAAUUACCUGCACUAAAAACUUUCAAUGAGUUUAUGUACUUUGUGAAUUUAGGAAUCUGGAACAAUGAUUGCACUUAUUUAACUACCUGCACUAAAGUGUUUGCUUUAGUUAUGGUGUUGACAGUAAGUAUAAAUACUUUAAGGGGCGUGACCUCCGCCGCAUUGCUUCAGCAGCCUUCAAGUCCCGGCAAUGAAACGGUUCGUGUGAGGAAGACUGCUUCUGGUGCUACUGGUGGAAAUUGUUACUAGUGUGUAAGUAUGUGGUAAAUAUCUGUGGAAACCAAAGGAUGUUUUCACUCGUACCAAACGUUAUGGUCAUGGAGAUACCUCUCUUCCUGCACACAAAACAACUACAACCACCUAAUUAUUACACACACACUCCUAUACCAGCCUCGGAGUCCCCAUCUGGUAACGACCCUAAAUGUCUUGACACCCCUCUCAGUUUUUCUUCUUAAACUUCUACAGAUUGAACGCGAAUGUUGCAGAACACUGCCUCUCCUCUAUUAAGCUUCAUCAUCCUUUCCUCAAUGAAACCCUGGUGUCUGAGGCAACUGACAGUAGCCCCUUUUCAGUUUCCUCUUACUUUCUCUAUCCAAAGCUGGAUGUUGUGUUUAUGUGCGCAAUGAAAUUAACCUGCUUUCGUGCCCACGCUCUUGAAUCUUUUGGGUUUUCCACCACCUGGCUACGACAACAGAGUCCCUUUCAUACUAAAUUUAUCUGUGUUGUAUACCUUUCACCUAACUCCUCUGACUGUAAGAAAUUCUUUGACUAUUUAACUUCCAAAGUGGAGCACAUUCUAACUCUCUUCCCUUUUGCAGGGAUCUCCAUUCUUGGAGACUUCAAUGUUCACCACCAGCUUUGGCUUUCCUCUCCCUUCACUGACCAUCCUGGUGAACUAACCUUUAAAUUUGCUAUCCUCCAUGACCUAGAGCAAUUGGUGCAACACUCUAAUCGUAUUCCUGACCGUCUUAGAGAUAUGCCCAACAUUCUUGACCUUUUCCUGACCUCUAAUCCUUCUGCUUAUUCUGUUACCCUCUCUUCUCUGUUGGGAUCUCCGAUCACAUCUAGUAUCUGUAUCUUGUCCUAUCACUCCAAUCCCUCCUCAGGAUCCCCUAAGCGAAGGUGCCUCUGGCGUGUUGGCUAUGCUAGUUGGGGGAACCUGAGGAGGUAUUUUGCUGAUUUUCCUUGGAAUGACUACUGCGUCCGUGACGGAGACCGCCCUGUGUGCCGAGUGCAUAAGAGGUGAUAGUGUCUGGCAUGGAGGCGUACAUUCCUCACUCUUUUUCUCGACCUAAACCUCCAAAACUUGGUUUAACAUAGCUUGUUCUCGUGCUAUACAUGAGAGAGAUGUGUCCCACCAAAGGUGCUUAAGCCUUCCAUCACCAGAAUCUCAUGCACUUUACAUUUCUGCCCGGAACCAUGCCAAGUCUGUUCUCCAACUAGCCAAAAACUCCUUCAUUAAUAGUGUCAAAACCUUUCAAGAUCUAAGUCCCCCCGUGACUUCUGCCACUUAACCCAAAAACAUCUAUAAUAACUUUGAUUCUUCUUUCCCUCCUUUAUUUCAACCAGAUGGCACCACUGCUAUCACAUCUAUCUCUAAAGCUGAACUCUUUGCUCAAUCCUUUGCUACAAACUCUACCUUGGACGAUUCAAGGUUUGUUCCUCUCUCUCCUCCACUAGCGCAGACAAGACUGUCAGUAUACAAUGGACAUGACACACUGAGGCAGCUGGUACUGCUUUGGCUCUAAAUGUUAUAAUAAUACUCUGCCACUUUGUUGACGAGUGACAAUACAACCUCUCGUUCCUCAGACUGUUCUUUUCACGUAACAGCUUCAAACCAAAUCCUGAAAUACUGAACCAACAUGAACCACCUCUGCUAUCAAGUAGUCAGCACUGUGAAGGGCUGUACAGUUCCUUACCUCACUAAAUAAUAAUACUUUCUGAUCCAAUCUGUCUCUGUCUGUCUGUCUGCUGCCAUGGCUUGACCUGCUCUUCUUUCAUCUGUAGCUUCCAUUCUGUCUGCCGUCUCCCUGCAUCCUCUUGUCCACCACACCAUCCUCCCUUGUGUGUUUGCUGCCACUGUCUAUCUAGAAAAAAAUGUUUUCUGCCAAACCUUGAACUAGUACAACAUGAACCACCUGUGGUCUAAUCUUUCUCCAGCAUUUCUUCUGUCCACUGUCACUGUCUGAACCAGUCACCUAACACACCAUCCUUCCUGCCACGGUCAUCCCUCUCUGAUGCUCUUCUCUUUCUCCCUCUCUCAGCGUGGUGGCAGCACGGGCCUCGGCACUCCCUGGCACCACGGCAGGUGUCAGUGAGGCAGGCAGGUGUUGGUUCAAGUCCUGGCAGUGUCACUUCGCUGCUGUAUUGUUUGGUGCAGCGGAUGAUGCUACGUUUUUCAUCACUUAGUGUAGAGUCUAUUUUUGCUUGACGUUUAUUUGUGUUGGUAAGGCAUUUCCACUAUAUAGUGGUAGAUAUUCUGGGAAAUAAGGAAUUAGCAAUACUAAGACAUGCUUGAACAACACUCACCAGUGUGGAAGACUUGUCAGGCAGUGGCUGUAGUGGCUUCACUUGAACCACGACCAUGUUCUCCUCAACCCUUGGAAAGAGAACAAUUCAUCUGAAAUGGAGAUACAAAGAUAUUGGGGAAAAUUUAAGAGAGAGACGCUGCAAAGUGUAGCUGACAGUGUGCGUGUCGUUAUCAAGAGGAGGGGCUCUAAAAUGAAACAGUAGGACACUCGUGAAGACAUUCAUACUAUCUUUUCUCAAGGGAAGAGUGUGUCGUGUGUGUUAACAACGUCAGGCGCGGACAUUUUUUGCAUCAAGGGUGAUGUACGAUCCGGACAUGAAAAAAGUUUUUUCUUUUAUAAUUUUCUAAUUUUUUUCCGCUUCUUUUGAUAUAUGUAACGUUUUGAUAAGAACUAAAAAAAUCCCCUUAUGUAAAGAGGUCUUCUGUUAUGAAAUUCCCACGGUUUCGCCCGCUGCGAGACAUGUCACACGUUUUUUUUACAUUUUUUUUUCUCUUUUCAUAUAUUUUUCUGACAUACCCGUUCUUCUUCACUCUCCCAUGAAUAUCUACGGUUCUCUUGCUGCAUACAAUAUUAGAAAGCACGAAAUUCUAGGUCUAACUAUUUUCUCAAAUUGAUAUACGAAAAAAAAAUCAUAUAAUAAUUUUUUUUUUCGUAAAUCUAGCAAAUAGUUAAUGUAUCUGCAUUAGAUAUCUUUUGCAUUAAUAUUUUAUUUACUUUCAAACAAUUAAACACUGGUUUUUACUUAGAAAUAUGGCGAAAUAUAACAAAAAUUGUUUUCACCCCGCCUUCUCCCCUCCCACCCGGUAAUUAAGGGUGAAAUCAUGAAUAGCUUUAGGCCUUAUACACAAAACCAAUCGGAGUAACUAAAACUAUGUCUGCUUUUUCAACAUAUUCUGAUGUAUAUAUCGCGUGAAUUUCAAGUCCCUGGCUGCAAUAGGUGAAUUAGUCACCCCUUAAACUUUAUGACAUAAUAUCUCAAAAUGGCGGAUUUUAGCAUAUAAAAAUUAUCUGCUCCGUUUUUAUUGGUGUUACAGACAGAUGGGCUAUUGCGGCUUAUCAAACUGUGAUAGGCGAAUAAAGUCUGCUGUGGUCUUUUUUUUUGGAGUUAAUUUUGAUUUUUGACAAAUAUUUCAAAGUUUUUUUUUUUUUUUACUUUUCAUCGAAAAAAAAUCGUACAAUAAAAGAAAAAAGAUAGCAGACUUUGUUCUCCUAUCCUUCCUGAUCAAAAUACUUUUUAAAUAAAUGAGGGAGGAGAUACGAGUUGAACACAGGCAAUUUAACAAGGGAUUAGCGAUCCUUCAACCACCCUCAAGUGUAUGAAUAAAGGUGAUUAGUUACUUUGAUGUGGAAAGACUGUAAUUUGUAAAGAUGAGAAUAAAUGAGAAUAAAUUAUU